CAUUGAUAGACCAAUUUUUGUAAUGAUUGUCAAAAACCGUCGACUUCAUAAUGUGUCGCAACACAUAUACAUGGUAUACAUGUAUUAUCUAUGACUGUUUUAAUUUCCCUUUUCCCCCAUAUAAUCAACGGUUGAUUAGUUCAUUGUGACUAUUUUCUUAAAAGCUUUUUAGUGGUAUUUAUUGUAGUCUAAAUCUUUCAAUUGUUCUUAUUUUCAUACCACCAUAACACAUAAUGAACUUAAAUUCCCAGUCUUGAAAAAGACGGCAUGGUUACUUCACGACACGCACAAUUUCAUAUAACCGAUGACGGUCACUUGAUACUUACAACUGAAUAUUUG
rnacentral:lncRNA from 1 species